AAGGUCAUCGAUGCAUCGAUAACUAUUCAAGUUCUUGCAUGACCAAACUUGAUGGUAUGUUUUAACGGUACAGUUUCGGUCACACUGACAUGGAAAUGAAAACAUUGGACACGGAAUUUGUGGAGAUUCAUCCAAGAAACUCAUAUUUAAGUCCUAAGGAGCUAAUUGCUCAUCGCCACAAGGAGUUUGAAGUUCCAAGUGGAGGUCUAAAACGUACUCAAAAUGAAGGCACUGCAUCGGAACUUGAGGAGCUUAAACGAGCGCAAGAUCAUUUGCGAGCUCAGCUGUCAGUGCCGCGGAUAGAAAGACUUGGAGGAAGAGCUCUUGCCACUUGGAAUGAAGAGCAACAAGUGGCUGAAGUCCUACGCAAAGAUGGUAAAUUCGAAAAUUUUGGACACAGUGAGCAGGGAAAGCUAUACCUGGAAUAUUAUGAGGCUUUGUUCUUGCUAGAACUGGGUCGCUUACAAUUGGAAUAUUAUGGUUUAGUGGUUUCAAUAGAGCAAGCUUAUGUGCUCCUACUUGGCGAGUUGGAAAGCGAAAAGUACACAAACUACCUUGUUUACUCCGCUUUAUCCCGUGCUGGCUAUAUAGUCGUCAGACAUAAACCCCCUGAAGCAACUCCCGAAUCAGUAACCAAGGCAGAUUGUAUCUGGGCUCUGCUAAAAAAGAUAGUGGGAAAUCAUUUAGUUCCAGAUCGCAUUAAAGCUUCGCCAUUUUACGCUGUCGUAGAUAAACAGAUGGAAGAUAACAAGGAACUCAUUAUAUCUCAAAAGAUAAAAGAGCCUGAAGACACAGAAGAAUCCAUAAAUUUACAAUUUGACUCAAAAAAGCGUAAAGCAAAUGAUGAACCAAUCGAAGAACCUGAAAGUAAAAAAGAAAAGCUUUCCACAUCCGGUCGAAGUCUCGUUGAUCACCUAAAAACUGAAUUUUCAUAUACCAAAUUCGAAGAGGUCUUUGAAAAGUUCGAUAUUGUACAACUUGAAAGACAAGAUUAUGCAACAAAUGAAUUCACGGUUUCUUCUUUAAAGAUAACAUUCGAUCUGCAUCUUCACAACGAGGGUUAUAAAAAGAGUUCACCAAAUCCACCCAACUUUAAUGUUAUCAUUCUAACAUCUCAAGAGGCUUUUCCUACUCACGAUGAUAUUUCCAAGAUUCAAAAUCAAUAUCUUCACACCGCACCACUGCUCGUCGUAUCCGUUAGCGAAUCCAAACAGAUACAGGCCUUUCUGUACUUUAUAAGUUGAUGAAUACCAAUACUGCGGAUAUGCUAGCUCAAUAAAUUAACUUUUUUCUAACUAAAUUUGUGACCAACAAUGGACGUACCAAAAAUUUGGAUAAUGGGCGGACCGGGCAGCG